GUCAGGAUGGUGUAGUGAUUUGAGUGUCGGACUAUGACUCAGAAGACCAGGGUUCAAAUCCCUGCUCAGCUG